GAUGAACGCUGGCGGCGUGCUUAACACAUGCAAGUCGAACGAACGGGCGAGCAUCUUGCUUUUCUCAUGUUAGCGGCGGACGUGUGAUUCACACGUGCAUCCCCUACUUAUAUUUCUGGUAUAACUUCGGCAAUCCGGAUCCAACACCCGAUCAUAUUUUGAACCCCAGGGUUCAUAAGAGCAAGUCGGCCUUGCUGGCUCGAAUAGAGGCUUCCUGGCUGGAUUAGCUAGUUGGUAGGGUAACGGCUUACCAAGGCUACGAUGCAUAGCCGACCUGAGAGGGUGAUCGGCCACACUGGAACUGAGACACGGUCCAGACUCCUACGGGAGGCAGCAGUAGGGAAUGUUGGGCAAUGGGCGAAAGCCUGACGGAGCAACGCCGCGUGAGUGAUGAAGGUCUUCGGAUCGUAAAGCUCUGUUGUUGGGGAAGAACAGAUGUGUAAGUAAAUGAGGACUUCUUGACGGUACCUGAUCAAAAAGCAACGGCUAACUACGUG
rnacentral:rRNA from 1 species